GACGAACCGUGCGAACGUUAUUCGGAAUCACUGGGCUUAAAGCGCGUGUAGGCGGGACGGCACGUCGGUCGCUGAAAGCCCCCGGCUCAACCGGGGAACGGGCGCCGAUACGACCGGCCUGGAGGGACGUAGGGGGACCUGGAACUUCCGGUGGAGCGGUGAAAUGCGUUGAGAUCGGAAGGAACGCCCGUGGCGAAAGCGAGGUCCUGGACGUUUUCUGACGCUGAGGCGCGAAAGCUAGGGGAGCAAACGGG
rnacentral:rRNA from 1 species